rnacentral:rRNA from 1 species
AUUGAACGCUGGCGGCAGGCCUAACACAUGCAAGUCGGGCGGUAGCACAAGGGAGCUUGCUCCCUGGGUGACGAGCGGCGGACGGGUGAGUAAUGUCUGGGAAACUGCCUGAUGGAGGGGGAUAACUACUGGAAACGGUAGCUAAUACCGCAUAACGUCUUCGGACCAAAGAGGGGGACCUUCGGGCCUCUUGCCAUCGGAUGUGCCCAGAUGGGAUUAGCUAGUAGGUGAGGUAAAGGCUCACCUAGGCGACGAUCCCUAGCUGGUCUGAGAGGAUGACCAGCCACACUGGAACUGAGACACGGUCCAGACUCCUACGGGAGGCAGCAGUGGGGAAUAUUGCACAAUGGGCGCAAGCCUGAUGCAGCCAUGCCGCGUGUGUGAAGAAGGCCUUCGGGUUGUAAAGCACUUUCAGCGGGGAGGAAGGCGAUAAGGUUAAUAACCUUGUCGAUUGACGUUACCCGCAGAAGAAGCACCGGCUAACUCCGUGCCAGCCGCCGCAGUAACAC